AUUGCUUCUUGGCCUUUUGGCUAAGAUCAAGUGUAGAAUUUGUGGGAAAUUACUGAAAAUGUUAUAAAGUACAUGCAGUACAACACCU
rnacentral:snRNA from 1 species